rnacentral:rRNA from 1 species
UACAGAGGUCUCAAGCGUUGUUCGGAUUCAUUGGGCGUAAAGGGUGCGUAGGCGGUGAAGUAAGUUGGAUGUGAAAUCCCGGGGCUUAACCCCGGAACUGCAUUCAAUACUGCUUUGCUAGAGUACUGGAGAGGAGAUUGGAAUUCACGGUGUAGCAGUGAAAUGCGUAGAUAUCGUGAGGAAGACCAGUGGCGAAGGCGAAUCUCUGGACAGUAACUGACGCUGAGGCACGAAGGCUAGGGGAGCAAACGGG